GACGAACGCUGGCGGCGUGCCUAAUACAUGCAAGUCGAGCGGAGCCAUUGGAGCUUGCUCCUUUGGUUUAGCGGCGGACGGGUGAGUAACACGUGGGCAACCUGCCCUGCAGAUCGGGAUAACUCCGGGAAACCGGUGCUAAUACCGAAUAGUUUGCGGCCUCUCAUGAGGCUGCACGGAAAGACGGUUUCGGCUGUCACUGCAGGAUGGGCCCGCGGCGCAUUAGCUAGUUGGUGAGGUAACGGCUCACCAAGGCCACGAUGCGUAGCCGACCUGAGAGGGUGAUCGGCCACACUGGGACUGAGACACGGCCCAGACUCCUACGGGAGGCAGCAGUAGGGAAUCUUCCGCAAUGGACGAAAGUCUGACGGAGCAACGCCGCGUGAGUGAAGAAGGUUUUCGGAUCGUAAAACUCUGUUGUGAGGGAAGAACAAGUACCAAGUAACUACUGGUACCUUGACGGUACCUCACCAGAAAGCCACGGCUAACUACGUG
rnacentral:rRNA from 1 species